rnacentral:lncRNA from 1 species
CAAAGCUCAUUGGGUGUUCAAAAGGUAUUACCUGGCGGGGCAUUCAUGGAUAGACAGAUAUUCUCUCAACCUAUCAACUCAGACAUGUGUAAGAAAUUCUUUAUCUUGGUUAUGCAAAUUUCUUUUGGAAAUUAUGCAAGGGGCGAAACAAAAGUCAGGCCAUCUUCUUUUCCAAUCAAAACAUUUCAUCCCUAGUCAUCCCUUUGAGCCAUUAGAAUUGACAAAUUUCGUUUGAUAACCCUUGAGAAUUGCAAACCCCACACUGGGGCAAAUUUGUUUCGAAAAAAAAAAAAAAAAAAAAAGAAAAAAAGAAAACCCUACACUGGGGCAAAUUUAGUUUUCAAAGAAAAAUGCAAAAAGUGAGGAAAAUACAAUGAAAAAUGCAAAGAGAGAAAAUCUGAUCAAACUGGGGCAAAUUUUCCUCAGUU